rnacentral:rRNA from 1 species
GAUGAACGCUGGCGGCGUGCCUAAUACAUGCAAGUCGAGCGAACAGACGAGGAGCUUGCUCCUCUGACGUUAGCGGCGGACGGGUGAGUAACACGUGGAUAACCUACCUAUAAGACUGGGAUAACUUCGGGAAACCGGAGCUAAUACCGGAUAAUAUAUUGAACCGCAUGGUUCAAUAGUGAAAGACGGUUUUGCUGUCACUUAUAGAUGGAUCCGCGCCGCAUUAGCUAGUUGGUAAGGUAACGGCUUACCAAGGCGACGAUGCGUAGCCGACCUGAGAGGGUGAUCGGCCACACUGGAACUGAGACACGGUCCAGACUCCUACGGGAGGCAGCAGUAGGGAAUCUUCCGCAAUGGACGAAAGCCUGACGGAGCAACGCCGCGUGAGUGAUGAAGGUCUUCGGAUCGUAAAACUCUGUUAUUAGGGAAGAACAAAUGUGUAAGUAACUAUGCACGUCUUGACGGUACCUAAUCAGAAAGCCACGGCUAACUACGUG